UAGGGAAUCUUCGGCAAUGGACGGAAGUCUGACCGAGCAACGCCGCGUGAGUGAAGAAGGUUUUCGGAUCGUAAAGCUCUGUUGUAAGAGAAGAACGAGUGUGAGAGCGGAAAGUUCACACUGUGACGGUAUCUUACCAGAAAGGGACGGCUAACUACGUGCCAGCAGCCGCGGUAAUACGUAGGUCCCGAGCGUUGUCCGGAUUUAUUGGGCGUAAAGCGAGCGCAGGCGGUUAGAUAAGUCUGAAGUUAAAGGCUGUGGCUUAACCAUAGUACGCUUUGGAAACUGUUUAACUUGAGUGCAAGAGGGGAGAGUGGAAUUCCAUGUGUAGCGGUGAAAUGCGUAGAUAUAUGGAGGAACACCGGUGGCGAAAGCGGCUCUCUGGCUUGUAACUGACGCUGAGGCUCGAAAGCGUGGGGAGCAAACAGGAUUAGAUACCCUGGUAGUCCACGCCGUAAACGAUGAGUGCUAGGUGUUAGACCCUUUCCGGGGUUUAGUGCCGCAGCUAACGCAUUAAGCACUCCGCCUGGGGAGUACGACCGCAAGGUUG
rnacentral:rRNA from 1 species